CCAAUAGCGUAUAUUAAAGUUGUUGCAGUUAAAAAGCUCGUAGUUGAACUUCGGGGUUUACCCAUUGGUCAGGCUUAAUUGUCUGUACUGGUGAGAUAAACCUCUACCUUCUGAGGAACUUUCAUGUCAUUAAUUUGGUGUGAUUGGAAAUCAGGACUGUUACUUUGAAAAAAUUAGAGUGUUUAAAGCAGGCUAACGUCUGAAUACAUUAGCAUGGAAUAAUGAAAUAGGACGGACUGAUUCUAUUUCGUUGGUUUCUAGGAUCACCGUAAUGAUUAAUAGGGAUAGUUGGGGGCAUUAGUAUUCAAUUGUCAGAGGUGAAAUUCUUGGAUUUAUUGAAGACUAACUACUGCGAAAGCAUUUGCCAAGGAUGUUUUCAUUAAUCAAGAACGAAAGUUAGGGGAUCGAAGACGAUCAGAUACCGUCGUAGUCUUAACCAUAAACUAUGCCGACUAGGGAUCGGACGAAGUUAAUUUUAUAAUGACGCGUUCGGCACCUUACG
rnacentral:rRNA from 1 species